rnacentral:rRNA from 1 species
AGUGAACGCUGGCGGUAGGCCUAACACAUGCAAGUCGAACGGCAGCACAGUAAGAGCUUGCUCUUACGGGUGGCGAGUGGCGGACGGGUGAGGAAUACAUCGGAAUCUACUUUUUCGUGGGGGAUAACGUAGGGAAACUUACGCUAAUACCGCAUACGACCUACGGGUGAAAGCAGGGGAUCUUCGGACCUUGCGCGAUUGAAUGAGCCGAUCUCGGAUUAGCUAGUUGGCGGGGUAAAGGCCCACCAAGGCGACGAUCCGUAGCUGGUCUGAGAGGAUGAUCAGCCACACUGGAACUGAGACACGGUCCAGACUCCUACGGGAGGCAGCAGUGGGGAAUAUUGGACAAUGGGCGCAAGCCAGAUCCAGCCAUACCGCGUGGGUGAAGAAGGCCUUCGGGUUGUAAAGCCCUUUUGUUGGGAAAGAAAAGCAGCAGGUUAAUACCCCGCUGUUCUGACGGUACCCAAAGAAUAAGCACCGGCUAACUUCGUG